UGGGGAAUAUUGGACAAUGGAGGGAACUCUGAUCCAGCAAUUCUGUGUGUGUGAAGAAGGUUUUAGGACUGUAAAACACUUUUGGUAGGGAAGAAAAAAAUGACGGUACCUACAGAAGAAGCAACGGCUAAAUACGUGCCAGCAGCCGCGGUAAUACGUAUGUUGCGAGCGUUAUCCGGAAUUAUUGGGCUUAAAGGGCAUCUAGGCGGUAAGACAAGUUGAAGGUGAAAACCUGUGGCUCAACCAUAGGCUUGCCUACAAAACUGUUGAACUAGGGUACUGGAAAGGUGGGUGGAACUACACGAGUAGAGGUGAAAUUCGUAGAUAUGUGUAGGAAUGCCGAUGAUGAAGAUAACUCACUGGACAGAAACUGACGCUGAAGUGCGAAAGCUAGGGGAGCAAACAGG
rnacentral:rRNA from 1 species